rnacentral:rRNA from 1 species
AUUGAACGCUGGCGGCAGGCCUAACACAUGCAAGUCGAGCGGAUGACGGGAGCUUGCUCCUUGAUUCAGCGGCGGACGGGUGAGUAAUGCCUAGGAAUCUGCCUGGUAGUGGGGGACAACGUUUCGAAAGGAACGCUAAUACCGCAUACGUCCUACGGGAGAAAGCAGGGGACCUUCGGGCCUUGCGCUAUCAGAUGAGCCUAGGUCGGAUUAGCUAGUUGGUGGGGUAAUGGCUCACCAAGGCGACGAUCCGUAACUGGUCUGAGAGGAUGAUCAGUCACACUGGAACUGAGACACGGUCCAGACUCCUACGGGAGGCAGCAAUGAGGAAUAUUGGACAAUGGGCGAAAGCCUGAUCCAGCCAUGCCGCGUGUGUGAAGAAGGUCUUCGGAUUGUAAAGCACUUUAAGUUGGGAGGAAGGGCAGUAAGCUAAUACCUUGCUGUUUUGACGUUACCGACAGAAUAAGCACCGGCUAACUCUGUGCCAGCCGCCGCGGUAAUAC